AGCUUGCUCCCGGAUGUUAGCGGCGGACGGGUGAGUAACACGUGGGUAACCUGCCUGUAAGACUGGGAUAACUCCGGGAAACCGGAGCUAAUACCGGAUAGUUCCUUGAACCGCAUGGUUCAAGGAUGAAAGACGGUUUCGGCUGUCACUUACAGAUGGACCCGCGGCGCAUUAGCUAGUUGGUGGGGUAAUGGCUCACCAAGGCGACGAUGCGUACCCGACCUGAGAGGGUGAUCGGCCACACUGGGACUGAGACACGGCCCAGACUCCUACGGGAGGCAGCAGUAGGGAAUCUUCCGCAAUGGACGAAAGUCUGACGGAGCAACGCCGCGUGAGUGAUGAAGGUUUUCGGAUCGUAAAGCUCUGUUGUUAGGGAAAAACAAGUGCGAGAGUAACUGCUCGCACCUUGACGGUACCUAACCAGAAAGCCACGGCUAACUACGUGCCAGCAGCCGCGGUAAUACGUAGGUGGCAAGCGUUGUCCGGAAUUAUUGGGCGUAAAGGGCUCGCAGGCGGUUUCUUAAGUCUGAUGUGAAAGCCCCCGGCUCAACCGGGGAGGGUCAUUGGAAACUGGGAAACUUGAGUGCAGAAGAGGAGAGUGGAAUUCCACGUGUAGCGGUGAAAUGCGUAGAGAUGUGGAGGAACACCAGUGGCGAAGGCGACUCUCUGGUCUGUAACUGACGCUGAGGAGCGAAAGCGUGGGAGAGCGAACAGGAUUAGAUACCCUGGUAGUCCACGCCGUAAACGAUGAGUG
rnacentral:rRNA from 1 species